UAUAUACAAUCAAGAUGCAAUUAACCACUUUAAUCAGAGCUGUUACAAACCAAUCUGCUAACAUUAAUAACUCGUUGGAAUCAAACUAUUGACCUAAAAUACUUAAACUCAAUUAUUAUUAUUAGGAUGUGUUGUCUUUUAUAUUCUCAAUCACGGUUCCGUUCUUAUCUAAUCUGAAAUUAUUGGCGUGUCAAUAUAAAUCAUAUAUCU
rnacentral:lncRNA from 1 species